ACCGCAGGGUGUCAGGGGGCGCGCGGCUCAGUGUCGGUGCGUUUACAGGCGCUCCUGUGCAUGUGAGAGCGCCGGAGAGACGGACAGGCGGUGCGCUCUGGCCCUCGGCGCUCACGGAUCACGCACGGGCUCUGUAUGCAUUGUCAGGAGCCUGUGAGAGGUCCGAGGCAAGGUGGAGAACAAGGCAGGUCCCCAUUUACUGGUGCACCCACGCCCCUCCAUUACCCGAGAAUUAAAGUUGAUGUCGGUCAAUGGGGUUCUAGAAAGCCAGCUGCAAGGCUGUUCGUCCUCGGGACCCUGGAACAGAGAUGGGUAGACUGUCUGCGACCACCGGGAAGAUCCAGACCCUCUUGCCUGGUCCUGCCAGGCCCUGCCCUCACUCUCCCCAGAAGCGAUUCUGGGCGGGGCCAAAUUGUUUCAAAGUGCCCGCCACCACUUGGAAGGUCCACUGCCUAACGCAAGAGCCAAAAUAAAUGGAGGAAGUGGCCAGGUCGGAGAAAGAAGCCAGUGACAAUGUCCACCCAGAAUGAAGCGAAUCCUGGCGUCCGUGGGUUUUUCAAGACCCUGGGCAGCUGGCUGAGGCAAGAAAAGUUCCUGGGCUACCGGCCCAGGUGGGCGCUGUGCAGGCGCUGGGAGGGAGCGGGCCAUCUGCGGGUGCUCAGCGCCCCUGCCGGAGAUCGCGGGGAGCUGCGGCUGAACCAAUGCUUGAGAGGGAGAAGAAAAAGGUUUUGCUCUGCUGAUGGACUCUGAGCAGAGGUGCCGCACCAUAUGAGGGCUCCUCUCUCAGCCUGCUUCUGGACCCACGUCUCCAGGAUCUGGACCACAGGGGAUGCGCAAUCCAGUUACUGCAGCUCUUGAGCUCCACCCGCAAGUGACAGCAACCCCAAAACCUCCAAGAACGGAUCCCUUUCCCACCUGAAGGAGCAUCUGCAUCUACCCCUAUGAUCUUUCAGGUGGACCCAGCAACUAAACUAUUUAGAGAGAAGGUUAUACAGAAGAGUCAUGAGUGGCUUGGAGCAGCCCAUGAGAAGCACAGCCUAUGGAAAACACAGCCUUUGUGCCAACAUGGUGAUGAACCUCAAAGCAAGGACAUUGACC